UGUAGAUCUGCUGACAUAGUGAGGAACCAAUGAUGUCCGGGCGUCAGACUCUACAGAGAAGAUGGAGCUGGAAGAAGACCUGAUAUCUGGACCAACAGAGAAGACGUCACUCAGCUAUUUACUCUACAGUCUACUGUGACACGGAUAUCGGUCCAUACACACCGAUGAAAUCUUGGUCCAUAUAUGCUGAUGUCAGAACGGUCCCGGUUCAUGUACACCGCUUGUUAUUACUGUGGUCGGUUGCUAGGGGCAACCACAAGAUAUGGAGCCCAAGUCCAAGCAUCAGUGACUGCAUUCCUUCUUGUCCACUUACCUUCUCUUUUGUUUGCUGCCUUUACAUUUCAGCUCUCACUGAGACUUUGUUCGCUGUCCCCCAGGAAUUGAUAUAUUAUCCCUUUAUUUAGUGUUGUAUCUACCACGUAUGAAUGCUGAGCAAAUUCAACCAAUCAAUAUAUACACCUUGUGGAC